GACGAACGCUGGCGGCGUGCCUAACACAUGCAAGUCGAACGGAGAUUUCAGCAAUGAAAUCUUAGUGGCGAACGGGUGAGUAACGCGUAGACAACCUGCCUUUUAGAUGGGGACAACACUGGGAAACUAGUGCUAAUACCGAAUGUUGUAUUUUGGUCGCAUGAUCGAGAUACUAAAGAUGGCCUCUAUUUAUAAGCUAUCACUAAAAGAUGGGUCUGCGUCUGAUUAGCUAGUUGGUGAGGUAAUGGCUCACCAAGGCGACGAUCAGUAGCCGGUCUGAGUGGAUGAACGGCCACACUGGGACUGAGACACGGCCCAGACUCCUACGGGAGGCAGCAGUGGGGAAUCUUCCGCAAUGGACGAAAGUCUGACGGAGCAACGCCGCGUGAGUGAAGAAGGUUUUCGGAUCGUAAAACUCUGUUUUCAGGGACGAAUGUGCAGCUUGUGAAUAAUGAGUUGUAAUGACGGUACCUGAGUAGAAAGCCACGGCUAACUACGUGCCAGCCGCCGCCGUAAGAC
rnacentral:rRNA from 1 species